UACGUAGGGGGCAAGCGUUGUCCGGAUUUAUUGGGCGUAAAGCGCGUGUAGGCGGCUAGGUAGGUCCGCUGUGAAAACUUGAGGCUCAACCUCAAGAGGUCGGUGGAAACCAUCUGGCUAGAGUCCGGAAGAGGAGACUGGAAUUCCUGGUGUAGCGGUGAAAUGCGCAGAUAUCAGGAAGAACACCCGUGGCUAAGGCGGCUCUCUAGUACGGUACUGACGCUGAGACGCGAAAGCGUGGGGGAGCGAACAGG
rnacentral:rRNA from 1 species